rnacentral:rRNA from 1 species
AGCAGCCGCGGUAAUUCCAGCUCCAAUAGCGUAUAUUAAAGUUGCUGCAGUUAAAAAGCUCGUAGUUGAAUUUCGGGACCAUCAUGUCGGUCGUGCCUCGGUACGUACUGGUAUUGUUGGUUUCUCCCUUCUGACGAACCACGAUGUCAUUUAUUUGGUGUUGUGGGGAAUCAGGACUGUUACUUUGAAAAAAUUAGAGUGUUUAAAGCAGGCUCACGCUUGAAUACAUUAGCAUGGAAUAAUGAAAUAGGACGUUUGAUUCUAUUUUGUUGGUUUCUAGGAUCGACGUAAUGAUUAAUAGGGAUAGUUGGGGGCAUUAGUAUUCAAUUGUCAGAGGUGAAAUUCUUGGAUUUAUUGAAGACUAACUACUGCGAAAGCAUUUGCCAAGGAUGUUUUCAUUAAUCAAGAACGAAAGUUAGGGGAUCGAAGACGAUCAGAUACCGUCGUAGUCUUAACCAUAAACUAUGCCGACUAGGGAUCGGAUGAUGUUAAUUUUUUAAUGACUCAUUCGGCGCCUUACG